AGCAUAUCAAUAAGCGGAGGAAAAGAAACCAACAGGGAUUGCCCCAGUAACGGCGAGUGAAGCGGCAACAGCUCAAAUUUGAAAUCUGGCCCCCCCCGGGGCCCGAGUUGUAAUUUGUAGAGGAAGCUUUGGGCGCGGCACCCACCGAGUCCCCUGGAACGGGGCGCCAUAGAGGGUGAGAGCCCCGUAGGGUGGGAUGCCCAGCCCCUGUAAAGCUCCUUCGACGAGUCGAGUAGUUUGGGAAUGCUGCUCAAAAUGGGAGGUAAAUUUCUUCUAAAGCUAAAUACUGGCCAGAGACCGAUAGCGCACAAGUAGAGUGAUCGAAAGAUGAAAAGCACUUUGAAAAGAGGGUUAAACAGCACGUGAAAUUGUUGAAAGGGAAGCGCUUGUGACCAGACUUGCGCCCGGCUGAUCAGUCCGGUGUUCUUCACCGGUGCACUCUGCCGGGCCCAGGCCAGCAUCGGUUCUCGCGGGGGGAGAAAGGCCCGGGGAACGUAGCUCCUCCGGGAGUGUUAUAGCCCCUGGCGGCAUGCCCUCGCGGGGACCGAGGUUCGCGCAUUCGCAAGGAUGCUGGCGUAAUGGUCAUCAGCGACCCGUCUUGAAACACGGACCAAGGAGUCAAGGUUUUGCGCGAGUGUUUGGGUGUCAAACCCGCACGCGUAAUGAAAGUGAACGUAGGUGAGAGCUUCGGCGCAUCAUCGACCGAUCCUGAUGUAUUCGGAUGGAUUUGAGUAGGAGCGUUAAGCCUUGGACCCGAAAGAUGGUGAACUAUGCUUGGAUAGGGUGAAGCCAGAGGAAACUCUGGUGGAGGCUCGCAGCGGUUCUGACGUGCAAAUCGAUCGUCAAAUCUGA
rnacentral:rRNA from 1 species